rnacentral:lncRNA from 1 species
AAGAAGUCAGGCCGGAUUAAGCCAUAGUACGGUAAGAGCUAUGCUGCCUGUGAGCCCCGUCCAAGGACGUAAAAUGAAGUCAGGCCGAUAGCCACGGCUUGAGCAAACCGUGCUGCCUGUAGCUCCAUCGUGGGGAUGUAAAAACCUGGGAGGCUGCAACCCAUGGAAGCUGUACGCAUGGGGUAGCAG